rfam:Oryza glaberrima chromosome 7 Oglab07_0144_19, whole genome shotgun sequence.
AACCACACUAUCAAUGAAUGGAUUCACUUGCGAGAUGAUGUGGUUGUUUCACAUAGUACGAGGACAUGGCAUCAUAUUACUAGCCAUCGCAUAAAAUUAACAGGAUGCCACGUCUCUAUCCUAGAUGGAACAACCACGUCAUCUCACGGGUGAAUCCAUUCAUCGAUAGUGUGGUU